UCUUUGCUAGUAUAUCGGUUAGUACACGCGCCUGUCAUACACUAGUAUCGCGCGAAAGCUGGGUUCGACUCCCAGGCAGAGAG